CCUUGGCUUCCUGCAAAACAUUAUGACCACCUCCUUAGCAUUAAUACUACAAACUAACAAAUUUGAGAAGUGUAUGGGAGCUCAUUUAUACCCACCAAGGCUUCACCUCUUCACGCCUAACAGCAGGAAAGUCACAGCGUCUCUAGUACCUUCAUACUAUAAAUAUAAACGUUUAAAACACGGAGGAAUUUAAGAAUUCAGAAUGAGGAGUUAUAACCUACCACAAGUCUCAGCCCUGACAUGGAGCAGGAGAAACUCAUAGUACCAGAACUCAUAAGAUAAACUCAAAGAAAAGCAGAACUUUAGCCUAAAGCACGCUUGUGGGAAUUCCUGGAACAUAGAAGAGCAUUCACCCGCCACGACACGCCAAGGAAGGAAGAGGGAGUGGAAACAACAGAGGAUGUGCCCCAGGUAACAGCCACCUGCCCUAAACAGACCGACGCCACCAGACGUCCAGACGGACUCCAGCCACAGCGGAGAGACUGCAGAUCACUCGAGUGCGUCUGUGUGUUUCUGCUGAAUGGUGAAGCUCAUCAGACGCGGCCGAGAGGUGAGAGAAAAUUGGUCCCGGGCUCGAGUCCAGACCCAGCUUUGAAGCCGCGAUGCUGCAAUCAUCUGCAAGCGGGUCAGGAGGUCAGAGCCGAAGCAGAGCAGGGACAGAUCAUUGAUCUGACAGAUGAAAACUUCACAUGCACCCACAGCACACGGCCGAGCCCACAGCCAGCCCACCGUCCACGCAGGGCUCACCCCCGGAGAUUAUCUACAAAGCCCUCUGAUUUAAAACACAAACAGUUCUGAGCAAACACGCUGUUAUAUAAGAGAAAGUUUCACUGAUAUGUUUCUCUUUAAGACACAAACUGCAAGGAUGUCACAUUGUACUUUGCUCUAACAUACUGUAUUUCUUAAAUACAAACCCAAACUGUAACAA